ACUUCCGGGUUGGUUGCUUUCGUUGACCUGUUGUUGAUGGAAAAUAUCAGCAAGUUUGUAAGAAAACAUGGUAAUAUAAGACAGUAGAUUGCCUCAAAUAUAAACAUUCGAAAAGAGAUAAUAGUCCAUUUUCGUUUAAAUAGACCCCUGGGACGGAAUAUACGGGAAAUUGUCCACGACAAGUAUUUUAACGUGGUUCUACCAUGUUUGUUAUUGUAAGAUAAUGUAUUGAUUAAUUUUGGAAAAUCCCUUACCUUUGAGGUUAUUCCUUAAAAUUUUAAUAAUAUUAUUAUCCUUAAACAAGGCUAAGAAAAAGUGUAAGUAGGAUACUGUGAUAUUCUUGCCUACAGUUUUUAAAUAAUAUGCUUUGAAAAACAUAUAUUUUUAUUUUAUUUUUUAGAGAUCUUUAAUUAACUUGUAUUAUUAUUGAUGCAGGCUACAGCUUGACUUAUCAUAUUAAAUAGUAUAUUGUCACUCUUUGUAUUCAAUCAUUAUUCAUCUAACUGAAAACUUUGUUGUCAUAACUUAAACUUAUACACACGUGACAAAAUAAACAAAAAACUUAGUCAACAAACAUAUGUAAAUGAUAAGAAGAAAGCAUCUAUAACUAAAACAAACUUAUAUAUAUAAUUACAUGUAUAAAUGAAUAAACAAUGGAUGUACAUAAUAAAGUCAUUGUCAGAAAAUAUAGAUUUAUUUGUAUGUGCUUUAGAAACAAGACAUUAAGCAAGGCUCACUGAGCUUUUUCGCAGCAAGUACAAAUAAAUUUGAUAUUUUCCGACAAUGUACAUUCUUUGUACAUAUAUUGUUUUUAUACUGAAUUUAACUCCCAAUACUUGAAACUUCAGUUAUUUAAAAUAUCUAAAUCUUAGUUUCUUAUUUUUGAAAGAAAUCAAAAAGUUUAAACAUGCACUGUGACGAGGAUCCCAAAAUGAACUGGUACGGAAAAAGAAAUAUGAUCCACAUUAAUGCCUGCUCAACAUGGAAAAGGGCUACCUGGAGACUUUAUUUGUACGAGUACAAAUAAAGCAAAACAUUAUUUUUGUACCUGCUAUUUGUGCAUUAGUUAGCUGAUUGCAUAAUAAAUACAUAUAUAAUAGUUUAUAAUGGCCUACAUGUAUUUGCCAAUUACCAAUUUAAUUCUGUUUUUUUAACAUUUUUAACCCAAUUUGUUUCUUUUUUCCAACUUUAGACUGGUUUUAAACCAGGGGUAAUGGGAACCUGUCUCUGUCACUAAGUCAGAUAAGUUGAAAGUGAUGCAUUGUUCAUUUAUGCAUUUUAAUCAACUUUUAAUAAAAAAAAUGAUUUUCAUUUCAAAAGUUUUAACCUUUAGAAAAGAUUGAAUUAGAAUUUAAGGAACAAAAAAAAACUGAAAGAUUACCAACACUACUGUACAUACAAAUUAAUUUGCAUUUUCUGCUUUCAUGUUCAUUCAUGAUCAGUUUCAUUGAAACUAGUUCAAAAUGAUUACAGGGUCAAUUAGGGUAUUGGCAAAUCAUUUACAUGUAGACUAUAUAUAUUGAAUAUUCCUUUAGAGUAAUAAAAUAAGUUUUAUAAUGCAAUUGAUGCUUUCUACCUGUUUUGUUGUGUAGAGAAUAUAUAUAUUUCAUUUGUGCGUUUAUAUUAUCAGCCCAAGUCACAAAAAUCUUCUAAACAAUUUUAAAAUAACCAAACAUUUCAUUCACAACUUACAUGACUUACAAAAUUUAAAAAAAUCCAACAAAGCAUCUUUCUGUGCCCUUCAGACCUAUUCUCAUACAUAUCUUUAUGUCCUUUUGUCCACAUAAAACUGUUUAAAGUAAGUAAAUUUAUUUAAAUUCUUCAUCAUGUUCAUAACUUUUGUUUUAACAUGUCUAAGAGCAGGUCAAAACAUGAGCUCUGGUGAGCUUGUUAACAAAUUUUCACAAAAGUUUGCUGUAACCUGGUCUUAACAGUAUUCAAAUGAUUUGGUGUAUCAUUUUUUUUUCAAAAUAUAUAUAUAUACAAUUUACAGAUCUAACAUUGUUGGGUUGAUGUUUAGACGAGUUGUAGAUACAUUAUGUACACAGCCAUGUAUCACCAUCAUUGAUGGCGAUCCGAUGGAUACAUCUGUUGUAGAGUUGUCACUGACUCAGACGUACUUAUAAAUACAAUUAUACAAUUGUAUAUACAAACAUCCUGCCACGUUUGUUGAAUUUUUCAUCAUGUUUCUUCCUUCACACUUGCGCUGUGUGAUAGCCUAAGUUGAUGAGAGAUGUUGUGGUAAAGGUCACUGCAUAUGGAAAAAAAGUUGGUGAACAUGGUGAAUAAGGAUACAGAUUGACAACAAUUCAAUAGUACAUUGUAGUUCAUUUCUGAAUAUUUGUAUGAUACAAUUUUAUUUUGAGAGAAUGCGGUAGUCUAUGUACACAUAUUGUAUAGCAAAACAUAGUCAUUCAAGACAGAAGUAUAAAAAAAAAACAUAUUCUUUUUUUAAUUUGAAAGAUCAUACAACUCUUAACUGUAAAAGAAAUGCAAAUAAUAUUAAUUUAAUGCUCUGUUUUUCAGAAUUUAGAAUAAGCAUAACUGUAUAAAUGAAUAUCUACAAAAAUGCCACGAGGGAAGACUCCAAACGGCCCACUACCUGCAUCAGAGGCCAGCAAUGGUAGCCUUGUCUCAAUUGAAAGCAGAGAACUUCCUUAUUUUUAUAGCAAUUUUAGCAAUACAGAUGAGGU
rnacentral:lncRNA from 1 species